ensembl:lncRNA
CGGUAAAACAAAAAAGAGAGAAUGUAGUUUGAGGCGGGUUUUUCUUGCUGAACCGCUCUGGGUGCUGUGUCCCUGAAUCUCACCGGUGUUAACCUCUGGCGGAAGACAUGGAGAAAAGGAAAAGAUGUUCCUGGUAAAUCACUGAAACAAAUAAAACCACACACAACCAGAGAAAGAUAUGAGAAGGGCCACAGCAGCUGGACUCACAACAACAACUUGAGGAUGUCAACAGUGCUGCAAAAGAGUGAUCUCAUGCAGCAGAGACGGAGAGCACUAAACCUAAAGCCCGUUUCACUACACGGGGGAAAUUCCCAGGCUGCGUCAGCUGACAGAGCUGUGACGAGACGCGCAUUAAGCCCGGAGGAAAAGGGACGGUGAGCAGAAGGAUGCUGACCUCUGAGAAGAGCCGAACAGCAGAGCUGCAGAAGGCCGUGGAGCAAAGUAAGGACAACAUAAACAGACCCAAAGAGGAGGGGAGGACCCUAGGCCAUGCGUCAGGCCGCUGGUUUACCUAAACUACAGAACAGAAAGGUGAUGAACACAAACAUAUACCAACACACGAACACACACUUCUGCAUGCGCCUACUUAGAAUGAAGGGAAACACACACAUGAACACUUAUGCACUUGUUGAGGGAGUAAAAACUGAUACAUACCCAUGCACUAAAAUCAAAAUGUUGAUUUAAUUUACUAAGAAGUGACACACAAUGCUCUAGCUGCUGCAAUGAAGAAUGCUUUACUGACAAAGGCUCAAUGCUGCACACAACAAAGUCAAAUACAGAAUUUGCUAUAAUAAUAAGCCCAGAGGGCAUUUGUGUGGUCUGGGGAGCAGAGUCCGGAGCGGUUUGGUUAUGAAAAUGAUGCCCGUGCGAGAUAUCUGGGGCUUAAGGCCUCGACUUAAUUGUUUACUCUACACUAAAAAGAAAAGAAAACACUCUGAGCAGUGGCGCAGAGUGAAAACGAGGAAUUAACAGUGUGAGUUUUAUUUCAGAGCGCCACGUCAUUGUGAUGGAGAUUUAAUAAAGGAGGAACACACGGACAAAGAAGAAGAGAAGGGGGGGCAGCUCUUGAACGCGAUUGCCUGAGGCAUUAAAGUUCUGUACUAAAUUCUGGUUUCCAGUGUGAGAAAAGUCACGCAGUGCCAGUAGUAGAGCUAGGUUGAGUGAUGAUUCUAAAUUACUGUAAGUAAAUCAUCGUACACCGUUCAAGUUUCAUGAAAACGGGGAUCUAGACUUUGUUGAACCCUAGGCAAUUUGAACAGGUAAAAGUCGAGUGACCAAGUAGCAGUUGAAUAAAAGUCAUUGAAUAAGUGUUGAAAUAAACUGGCAGAAUUAAGAGAAUUAAAACAUUUCAAGAGCUCAACUUACUUAAUGGUUCAAUUUUGUUUCACGAACGCAAAACAUAUAGGUUUAUGAAUAUGAAAAGGUUGAGGUGGUGUUGAUUUGACUCUGUGUAGGUUUAGGUUGGUAUUUUUAUUGAUGGGAAGAAUAUUCAGUGACAAGUCCUAAGACCCGGGCGUCUGCAUUUUGUUUUUGUUAUUUUUCAUUUUAUUUUGUUUUAUAUUUACUGAUUUUUGUUGGUGAAUCUUUUCUUUAAGCAGAUCUGCACAUCGGAAAUUACAAGCAUUACACGUCGGCGAGAAAAUUGUUGUAAGUGAGUUUCUCCGCAUUGAAAUGGGUUCUGGAGGAAACACUUGUGGGGACAAUUAGAAACGAGAGUCCCUGUUUAAAAAAGGAUUCGGCGAGGUAAUCCAAACUCAAGUUCUUGUUUCUUUUUGAGAUGACGUCAUUUUGCUGAGUGUGGAAACUAGAUGCGACGACAGGUUUCACUAUCAGCAAAGAACGGAUGAAUGGAUGAAAGACUGGGAAUAAAAACAAACGGACUGACUGGUAAGAGAUGACAAGACUUGACCAUGACUCAAGGUUAACCACCUCCACCUAGAUAGGAUAAAAGGGUGGAUGAAUUUAUGUGGGUUUCUUUUACAGGAGUAGAAGGAUGACAAAAUAUUCGAGGAUGAGUGAACCUGUAAAUGCCAUUUUUGUGUCUUGUGUUGCUUACAGAGGUAACUGCGCAGCGUUACCAUUUACAUUUUCUUCCCUACAGGGUUACAGUUUUAAUGUUUUUCUAUUACAGGAUUUCUGGGCGGAUGUGUGAAGAAACGGUGUUUAUGGGUUAGGAGUUGGGGAUGCUAUUACACUGUAUUCUGGUGAGAGUGUUGGGGGAGACACACCCUGUCUUGAAAACUGUGAUUCUUUUACAGGAAAUGUUUUAUAGCACCUAUGGAAUGAGGAUGCCUGACUACGGUCAAUGUGCUGCUAAUGUUUGCUUUGCUUUGGUGAGAGGGGUGCAGUAGAAAACAGACAAGUGACAUGAAAACAAGUAAUAAUAACAAAUAACAAAUUUGGGGACAGUUUGACCUAGAGCCCACUAACUGGCCAUUAGGGGCUCUCUCUCUCUCUCUCUCUCUCUCUCUCUCUCUCUCUCUCUCUCUCUCUCUCUCUCUCUCUCUCUCUCUCUCUCUCUCUCUCAGGUUGUUGCUCUUUAACUCCUAGAACACGCCCUUGGCGAGGUGGGGGGAACUGGACCACCUUUCUGUGCCCCAUCAUCCUCUAUUAGACGACAUCCAAGCUAAGUAAACAUGUCUUGGCCCUUUCCCCCUGAAAUGACAGGCAGGCAAAGAUGUUGCGUCUUUGUUUGCUUCCUGGCCCUGGGUCUCAUUCCCAUUGGCAUAAUCCUGAUCUGUGAAGGGCCCCCGACACUUCUGACACCUUCAAGUUCAAAAGCUUCGCCCCCUUCUGACAGUCCCAAUCUGACAAAUGUAGCCCCUAGGGUCUUGCCCACCACUUCCUCUCCAGUUUUGCCCACGCCCGAUCCAUUUAGAAAGAAACGAGACACGGUUACCUCCUCGCCAACGGAUGAUGAAAACUCUGAUCGUGAGGGUGACGAACAUUAUCGUCUUUCUCUUGUUUAAAUUCUUCUAGAAUGGUUGUUUCUCUGUGGUGUUUUGUAUUAGGCUUGUUAUUAAUUGUUUCCCUCACCCACUUCCUCUUGAAGGAUAUAUCUGGUUGAACUGUGUCUGGUCGGGUUGUGAGGGUUAAGCGAUGUUCUCAGGGUCUCCGGACUUAAGCCUGAGCGAAUGUGUACUCCCACCAAUGGAUAUGAAUUGUUUUUUUUUUCCACACCCCUUCCUCACGUUUUACCAUAUUCACUUUUGAAUGUCCUUAGCAGUUACCGUUCUGGGUUUAUUUUACGGUUGAUUUAUUCUUUCACAUUUUCACGUUUAUAUCUCUCAUUAUUAUAGUAGACUCUGUACUCUCCACAUUUUUAUCAUUACUUAUGCUUUUUGGUUGCUGAGUUACAGGAACUGUUAAUUUUGUGUCACUACCCUGGUUGCACUAACUCGUUGUAUCCGUGUGUGCAGGACAGCUGUUACUGCUUUCAUCGGGAACCGAGACUGCUUGCAGCCGACCCCUGGGCAGGGUGGUGCCUGGACUCUUUUCUCCUCAUCUGCAAUGACAGAUAAAGACAAAUGAUAAGACCCGAGGAGUUUUUCGAGCCAGGCUUCGACACGUCUCUGUGUUCCUUUGAAUGUUACUUAUGUUUGUGUGUUGACCCAUUUAAGAUGGGUCAAAAGGGGGAUUUGAAGAAAAUAUAAUCUGAUCAAACACUAUUCAGCUUUAAAUAUUGUUCAGCUUUAAAGUUACUGUGCAACUGUGUAAUAAAAAUAUGUGCUCACGACUUUGGCCUUGAGAGCGAUAAGAAGCGAUCGCCUCAUUCUGCAGGUGCAAGAUAUCUGCAAGCGAAGACACUAGAACACCCAAGGCCGCUUUCCUUUUAUGGAGUUGUUUUUCUGCUAAUGCAGCACUGUCCUCACAACCUCCUCCUGUAAGUUUUAGAGAAUAUAUACCCAUCC